rnacentral:rRNA from 1 species
UACGGAGGAUGCAAGCGUUAUCCGGAUUUAUUGGGUUUAAAGGGUGCGCAGGCGGCUUGUUAAGCGGGAGGUGAAAUGCCGGCGCUCAACGUCGGAAGUGCCUCCCGAACUGGUGAGCUUGAAUGACUCUGCCGUGGGAGGAAUGUGUAGUGUAGCGGUGAAAUGCUUAGAGAUUACACAGAACACCGAUUGCGAAGGCAUCUCACGAAGGGUUGAUUGACGCUGAGGCACGAAAGCGUGGGGAU